rnacentral:rRNA from 1 species
GAAACCGGAGCUAAUACCGGAUAAUAUAUUGAACCGCAUGGUUCAAUAGUGAAAGACGGUUUUGCUGUCACUUAUAGAUGGAUCCGCGCCGCAUUAGCUAGUUGGUAAGGUAACGGCUUACCAAGGCAACGAUGCGUAGCCGACCUGAGAGGGUGAUCGGCCACACUGGAACUGAGACACGGUCCAGACUCCUACGGGAGGCAGCAGUAGGGAAUCUUCCGCAAUGGGCGAAAGCCUGACGGAGCAACGCCGCGUGAGUGAUGAAGGUCUUCGGAUCGUAAAACUCUGUUAUUAGGGAAGAAYAAAUGUGUAAGUAACUAUGCACGUCUUGACGGUACCUAAUCGAAAGCCACGGCUAACUACGUGCCAGCAGCCGCGGUAAUACA